rnacentral:rRNA from 1 species
ACGUAGGUGGCAAGCGUUGUCCGGAUUUAUUGGGUUUAAAGGGUGCGUAGGCGGCCCUGUAAGUCAGUGCUGAAAUAUUCCAGCUUAACUGGGAGGGUGGCAUUGAUACUGUGGGGCUAGAGUACAGAUGAGGUAGGCGGAAUUGACGGUGUAGCGGUGAAAUGCAUAAAUAUCGUCAAGAACACCGAUAGCGAAGGCAGCUUACCGAGCUGUAACUGACACUGAGGCACGAAAGUGUGGGGAUCAAACAGGA